GAUGAAGAACGUAGCGAAAUGCGAUAAGUAAUGUGAAUUGCAGAAUUCAGUGAAUCAUCGAAUCUUUGAACGCACCUUGCACCCUUUGGCAUUCCGAAGGGUAUGCUCGUUUGAGUGUCAUUGUACUCUCACACUCUCCGAUCCUAUGGAUUCGGGGAGCGGUGGACUUGGGUGUUGCUGCCUUUCCCUGAGGCUCACCUCAAAUGCGUCAGUGCACCUCUUGGUUGGACAUAGUACGGCGUGAUAAGUGUCUUCGCCGGCACCUCGCAAGAGGGUGGCCGAUCGGGAGCUCUGCGCUUUCAAACCGUCUUCGGACAAUUUCUGACAUCUUGACCUCAAAUCGAGUAGGACUACCCGCUGAACUUAAGCAUAUCAAUAAGCGGAGGA
rnacentral:misc_RNA from 1 species